AUUGAACGCUGGCGGCAGGCUUAACACAUGCAAGUCGAGCGGGGUGAUGGUGCUUGCACUAUCACUUAGCGGCGGACGGGUGAGUAAUGCUUAGGAAUCUGCCUCUUAGUGGGGGACAACAUCUCGAAAGGGAUGCUAAUACCGCAUACGUCCUACGGGAGAAAGCAGGGGAUCACUUGUGACCUUGCGCUAAUAGAUGAGCCUAAGUCGGAUUAGCUAGUUGGUGGGGUAAAGGCCUACCAAGGCGACGAUCUGUAGCGGGUCUGAGAGGAUGAUCCGCCACACUGGGACUGAGACACGGCCCAGACUCCUACGGGAGGCAGCAGUGGGGAAUAUUGGGCAAUGGGGGGAACCCUGAUCCAGCCAUGCCGCGUGUGUUAAGAAGGCCUUAUGGUUGUAAAGCACUUUAAGCGAGGAGGAGGCUCUUUUGGUUAAUACCCAAGAUGAGUGGACGUUACUCGCAGAAUAAGCACCGGCUAACUCUGUGCCAGCAGCCGCAGUAACAC
rnacentral:rRNA from 1 species